UUAAAAUCGAAAAAUUUCCAAAUUUUCAAUCAAAAAAUGUCAAGUCAAAAUUACAGAAAUAAUAGGUAUAAGAAAUAAAAAAAGCAGCUUUGAAUCGUUUCCAGGAGGAGAUAAUGGGUGUUGUUUAAUUUUCUAGUCUCAAUUGACUAAGGAUAUUUAAAAUGAAAAAUCAGUUUGUUGACAAUGUAAAAAUAAACUUACCCUGGAAAGCACUAGUAGAUUUAUACAAGUUAGGCAGUGAAAAGUGACCGUUAAGUGAAGUGUAACUAAAUAUAAAAGCAUAUUAAAAUAACGCCUGCAAUGAACUUAAACUUACAAACUUGUAAUAUAUCUGACACGUAAAUUCAUUAUCAUAUAGAUGAAGUAAUAAGCAGUAACAAUUAGAGGGUAAUCACAUUAUCGGAAAAGCACAUAAGUUAUGCAACAAAAGAAUUAUUCAAUCUCAAGCAGUUGGAAUCAAAAGCGAAUACCUUUAAUUAGUGGCCAAGAAGCUAUACAACUCUAUUAUAUUUUUAGUUCACGAUUUUUGUAUGCCUCCGACGUAUAUACAUAUAAAUAGUAUUACAUGUAUUUUUAGAUGUUAUGAAUUUUAGUUAAAUAUUUCUCAAGAAUUCAUGAUUUGUUAGGUCAUAUAAUUGCUAAUUUAUUCUAAUUGCAGAACAAUACAUUGAAAACACGUAAUCGUUUGUACUUUAAUAUAGCUACUCACGAUCAAUGAAGAUAAAUAUCUGUGGUAUAUAGGUGAUCACGCAACGAGUUCGAAAAACUUUGCUAAUUUGAAGGAGAUUAUAAUAAAAAAAUUGAAACUCA